rnacentral:rRNA from 1 species
GACGAACCGUGCGAACGUUGUUCGGAUUCAUUGGGCUUAAAGGGCGCGUAGGCGGCCGCUCAAGUCGGGGGUGAAAUCUUUCAGCUCAACUGGAAAAUAGCCUCCGAUACUGGUCGGCUGGAGGGAGAUAGGGGUGCGCGGAACUUCCGGUGGAGCGGUGAAAUGCGUAGAUAUCGGGAGGAACACCAGUGGCGAAGGCGACUUCCUGGCCUGUUCUUGACGCUGAGGCGCGAAAGCUAGGGUAGCAAACGGG